rnacentral:misc_RNA from 1 species
AACAUCGCGCACCUGCGGGAACCUGCGGAGGGAUCAUUACCGAGUGAGGGCCCUCCGGGUCCAACCUCCCACCCGUGUUUAACGAACCUUGUUGCUUCGGCGGGCCCGCCUCACGGCCGCCGGGGGGCACCCCGCCCCCGGGCCCGCGCCCGCCGAAGACACCUGUGAACGCUGUCUGAAGUUGCAGUCUGAGACACUAGCUCAAUCAGUUAAAACUUUUAGCAAUGGAUCUCAGAUCGG